UUUUUUUUUCUUAAAGGGAGCUUCCACUUUUCCACUACAGUCAUGGUGUCUCUAUUUGCAGAGACUAUUUGCAUGCCCUAAGGUUGUCUCUUCUGUACUAGGAAAUGUAAAAGCUGCUGCAGACACAGCCUUAUCACUCCAUGUACCCCAUGCUGUGCCUCUGCUCUGGGAUUUUCCUCACACAGAAAUGAUCACAACAGAGACAUAAAAACGACUUUUUUGAGACCAGCCACAAACUGACGAGACACUGAACUUUACAGGAGAGUGUUGGGCUUUAAUCAGUUUUUGCUUUGAUACUGUUUCGUAGGCUCUGCAAUCCAACCCCUCACUUUUUUUUCAUUUGCUUUUUUGUGAUGGAAAAAAAAAUCACUAUUGGUAACUUGGAAGUGGACUGCCGAUGUUCUUUGGUGAAGAUCAAGGAAGGUUUGACGAUGAGCAGAGGAGGACAAACGGAGAGUCAGCUGCACCUGAGAGGCGGUAGUGGCAAAAAAACACCAGAAGAGCCAGCUUGUGCAGCUCUCGAUUUCUCCGUUUUUUUCAAAUGCAUUUAAUGGCUUGGCUGAUGCUGAGGUGGAACAAAAAAAUAGUGUAUAUGCUGUUGUGAGAAAGCAGUCUUCUAAUGCUGUUUAUGAACCGCUACUGGUACAUGCAGCUGUAGUGUUCUUCAUACAUCUGGCUUGUAUCCUGGAGGGUCUUAAAAGCUGCCAGAAUUUGUCCAUUAAUGUUUUAUUUUUGGCUCUACAUCAACACAGCGGCAACAUUUUAUUGAGAUAGAAUAAAGCAGAUCAAUUCAAUCUUCUUCUUUUCA